rnacentral:rRNA from 1 species
UACGAAGGGGGCUAGCGUUGUUCGGAAUUACUGGGCGUAAAGCGCGUGUAGGCGGGUCUUUAAGUCAGGGGUGAAAUGCCAAGGCUCAACCUUGGAACUGCCUUUGAUACUGGAGACCUUGAGUCCGGGAGAGGUGAGUGGAAUUGCGAGUGUAGAGGUGAAAUUCGUAGAUAUUCGCAAGAACACCAGUGGCGAAGGCGGCUCACUGGCCCGGAACUGACGCUGAGACGCGGAAAAGCGUGGGGAGCAAACAGGG